CCUGACCCUAGAGAAGUUGCAAGUGUGGCUGCAGUGUCACAUGUGUGACAGUAGGUGGCAGAGAGAGGGAGGCUACGUCUACACUCAGUGUUCUGACCUGUGACCUUCUGAAUGAUUAGUGGCCUAACUCC